ACAUUAAUGGUAACGGCUUGGGCUAGUUCGUACGUCUCUGUCAUGGGGCGUCGAAGCGGAAUAAUCAAUUGGAGAACCGUCAUGGUGAGAAGAUCGGGAAGGCGUGAGCAAAAGACGAAUGAUGCCUGGGUCCCAUGAAAAGCCGUAGAGGUGACCGUACCUAGAACUGACACAGGUACCCAAGGUGAGUAGCCUAAGGUGUGACGGGCAAAGUACCGCGAAGGAACUCGGCAAAAUCGCUCUGUAACUUCGGGAGAAGGAGUGCCAGCUUAGAGAUAAGCUGGUCGCAGUGACCAGAGGACUCCGACUGUUUAAUAAAAACAUAGGCGACUGCUAGAUCGAAAGGUUGUGUAUAGUCGCUGAAUCCUGCUCAGUGCUGGUAUCUGAAAUCGGGUUACAACCUGACGAAGGACCAGUAAACAGCGGGGGUAACUAUGACCCUCUUAAGGUAGCGUAAUACCUUGUCGCUUAAUUGGCGACUUGCAUGAAUGGCACAACGAGAGUCCUACUGUCUCCGCGGUACGUCCGGCGAAAUUGACAUUACUGGCGCACAGUCCAGUAACCUCAACCUGCAAGCGAAGACCCCGUAGAGCUUUACUGCAACCUGGCGUUGUACAGUCGCACAUUACGUGCUGAGUAGACGGGAGACGCUGAUCCUCGGGACGCCAGUUCCGAGAGUAGUCAACCAUAGAGACACCGUCCUUAGUGUGUAACUGUACUAACUCUUCAUGAGAACACCGCUUGGUGGGCAGUUUGGGUGGGGCGCCACGCGCUCGAAAAAAUAACAAGCGUGCCCAAAGGUCAGCUUAGGUGGUUCAGUCUCCACCGUUAACCGUAAGGGGAAAAGCUGGCUUGACUUGAAUCGGACCAAUAACGAUUGAAGAUGCGAAAGCACGGCCUAACGAACCAAUCUACCUCAUUUCUGGGGGUGAUUGAUAACAGAAAAGUUACCUCGGGGAUAAUUGAGUUGUCACCAGCAAGAGCACAUAUCGACCUGGUGGCUUGCUACUUCGAUGUCGUCUCUUCCCAACCUCCUGGUGCAGCAGCUGGGAAGGGUGGGGUUGUUCGCCCAUUAAAGGGGAUCGUGAGAUGGGUUUAGACCGUCGUGAGACAGGUUUGUUGCUUUGUGGUUGAGGCGUAUUGAUGCGUGAUCGGAAGGGCCCUUUAGUACGAGAGGAACGAGGGCUCGGGGCCACUAGUUUACCAGUUGUCCGGCAGGGCAAUGCUGGGUAGCCACGCCCUAUAUGGAUAAGAGCUGAAAGCAUCUAAGCUCGAAGUCAUCCGAAAGACGAGGCAUCUCAGGGGACUCGUAGAAGACGAGUUUGAUAGACAGCGGGUGUAAGCACCGAGGUUCGCCGAGGUGUUCAGCCCAGCUGCACUAACCCCCCGAGCAUCUAAAUUU
rnacentral:rRNA from 1 species